rnacentral:rRNA from 1 species
UACGAAGGGGGCUAGCGUUGCUCGGAAUCACUGGGCGUAAAGCGCACGUAGGCGGAUUGCUAAGUCAGGGGUGAAAUCCUGGAGCUCAACUCCAGAACUGCCUUUGAUACUGGCAAUCUCGAGUCCGGGAGAGGUGAGUGGAACUGCGAGUGUAGAGGUGAAAUUCGUAGAUAUUCGCAAGAACACCAGUGGCGAAGGCGGCUCACUGGCCCGGUACUGACGCUGAGGUGCGAAAGCGUGGGGAGCAACA